GUUAUAGCCUUCUCUUCUUUGCAACCGUUAUUCUGUUAUGGAGAAAGUUAGAAUUAAAAUGUCUGUUUUCUUCAAACUUAAGGAGGAUUUAAAGCGUAUGUUACCUUGAUGGAGCCAUAUGCCAUUGAAACAAGUAGGGAUUAUGGAUGGCAAUAGGUAGUGUACUCGCAAAAAUCACCCUACUCAAACUUGAAUCCGUUUAGUUUUCUCAAUACUAAAACCCAUAUCAAACCCAAUUAAAAUUUACCUUCAUCUACCCAAACCCGUACUACUACCUGAAAAAUGCCCGAACCU
rnacentral:misc_RNA from 1 species